rnacentral:rRNA from 1 species
CAGCGCCACAAGUGGGGACCAGUGUUAUUGGGCCUAAAGCGUCCGUAGCUGGUUUAGUAAAUUUUCUGUGAAAUCGUUGGGCUCAACCUAACGGCAUGCAGGAAACACUACUAAACUUGAGACCGGGAGGAGUUAGAGGUAUUUUGGGGGUAGCGGUAAAAUGCAAUAAUCCACAAAGGACCACCUGUGGCGAAGGCGUCUAACUAGAACGGUUCUGACAGUGAGGGACGAAAGCCAGGGGAGCGAACCGGAUUAGAUACCCGUGUAGUCC